GCGGGGGAUAACUACGCGAAAGCGUAGCUAAUACCGCAUACGCCCUACGGGGAAAGGGGGGAUCGCAAGACCUCUCACUAUUGGAGCGGCCGAUAUCGGAUUAGCUAGUUGGUGAGGUAACGGCUCACCAAGGCGACGAUCCGUAGCUGGUUUGAGAGGACGACCAGCCACACUGGGACUGAGACACGGCCCAG
rnacentral:rRNA from 1 species